rnacentral:rRNA from 1 species
GCCUACCAUGCAGUCGAACGAACUCUUCGGAGUUAGUGGCGGACGGGUGAGUAACACGUGGGAACGUGCCUUUAGGUUCGGAAUAACUCAGGGAAACUUGUGCUAAUACCGAAUGUGCCCUUCGGGGGAAAGAUUUAUCGCCUUUAGAGCGGCCCGCGUCUGAUUAGCUAGUUGGUGAGGUAAAGGCUCACCAAGGCGACGAUCAGUAGCUGGUCUGAGAGGAUGAUCAGCCACAUUGGGACUGAGACACGGCCCAAACUCCUACGGGAGGCAGCAGUGGGGAAUCUUGCGCAAUGGGCGAAAGCCUGACGCAGCCAUGCCGCGUGAAUGAUGAAGGUCUUAGGAUUGUAAAAUUCUUUCACCGGGGACGAUAAUGACGGUACCCGGAGAAGAAGCCCCGGCUAACUUCGUGCCAGCAGCCGCGGUAAUACGAAGGGGGCUAGCGUUGCUCGGAAUUACUGGGCGUAAAGGGAGCGUAGGCGGACAUUUAAGUCAGGGGUGAAGUCCCGGGGCUCAACCUCGGAAUUGCCUUUGAUACUGGGUGUCUUGAGUAUGAGAGAGGUGUGUGGAACUCCGAGUGUAGAGGUGAAAUUCGUAGAUAUUCGGAAGAACACCAGUGGCGAAGGCGACACACUGGCUCAUUACUGACGCUGAGGCUCGAAAGCGUGGGGAGCAAACAGGAUUAGAUACCCUGGUAGUCCACGCCGUAAACGAUGAUUGCUAGUUGUCGGGAUGCAUGCAUUUCGGUGACGCAGCUAACGCAUUAAGCAAUCCGCCUGGGGAGUACGGUCGCAAGAUUAAAACUCAAAGGAAUUGACG